GACGAACGCUGGCGGCGUGCUUAACACAUGCAAGUCGAACGGAGCACCCUUGACUGAGGUUUCGGCCAAAUGAUAGGAAUGCUUAGUGGCGGACUGGUGAGUAACGCGUGAGGAACCUACCUUCCAGAGGGGGACAACAGUUGGAAACGACUGCUAAUACCGCAUGACGCAUGACCGGGGCAUCCCGGGCAUGUCAAAGAUUUUAUCGCUGGAAGAUGGCCUCGCGUCUGAUUAGCUAGAUGGUGGGGUAACGGCCCACCAUGGCGACGAUCAGUAGCCGGACUGAGAGGUUGACCGGCCACAUUGGGACUGAGAUACGGCCCAGACUCCUACGGGAGGCAGCAGUGGGGAAUAUUGGGCAAUGGACGCAAGUCUGACCCAGCAACGCCGCGUGAAGGAAGAAGGCUUUCGGGUUGUAAACUUCUUUUGUCAGGGAAGAGUAGAAGACGGUACCUGACGAAUAAGCCACGGCUAACUACGUG
rnacentral:rRNA from 1 species